UACGUAGGGUGCGAGCGUUAAUCGGAUUUACUGGGCGUAAAGCGUGCGCAGGCGGCCCGUUAAGACAGGUGUGAAAUCCCUGGGCUCAACCUAGGAAUUGCGCUUGUGACUGGCGGGCUCGAGUACGGUAGAGGGGGGUGGAAUUCCUGGUGUAGCAGUGAAAUGCGUAGAGAUCAGGAGGAACACCAGUGGCGAAGGCGACCACCUGGGCCUGUACUGACGCUCAUGCACGAAAGCGUGGGGAGCAAACAGG
rnacentral:rRNA from 1 species